GCAGAUAUAAGUUAAGUUAAACUCUUGGUCUUCAAAACCAAAAAUUUUUAUUCUGUG
rnacentral:tRNA from 1 species